UACGAAGGGGGCUAGCGUUGCUCGGAAUCACUGGGCGUAAAGGGUGCGUAGGCGGGUCUUUAAGUCAGGGGUGAAAUCCUGGAGCUCAACUCCAGAACUGCCUUUGAUACUGAAGAUCUUGAGUUCGGGAGAGGUGAGUGGAACGCGAGUGUAGAGGUGAAAUUCGUAGAUAUUCGCAAGAACACCAGUGGCGAAGGCGGCUCACUGGCCCGAUACUGACGCUGAGGCACGAAAGCGUGGGGAGCAAACAG
rnacentral:rRNA from 1 species